rnacentral:lncRNA from 1 species
CAGAUAGAGUGGACAGUUUCUCCUCCAGUGGCCGUCAGCAUCACAGUGAAAAUAUUUUUCUUUUGCUUCAACCUUUUUUGGAACAUCCUUCUUUGGCUUGCUCUCUUUUUUCUGCUUCUUAGCAGAUUUGUUCUUCUUCUUCUAAUCAGACUUUCUCUUAGUCGAAAAAGUCCACUCCAUAGUGAAAACAGUACCCCUUAAACUCUUCAAGGUUCUCUCUGUAGUAA